GUCCAAGGCUAAGUUUUGCCCUUUCACGGCGGUAACACGGGUUCGAAUCCCGUACGGGACGCCA
rnacentral:tRNA from 1 species